CACCCAUUGCUCCAGGAGGCUAUUUAAGAUGAGCCCUGCACCUUCCAACCCAGCUGUCUUGGAGGGACCCUUGCUUCCAGGACUGCCUCCUGCAUGGAUUUUGGCCUCAUAUUGCAGGUCCUAUCUCCAGCUCCGUUUUCUGGAUGGACUUUGGAUGACUGCUGCAGGUAGCUUGUCUUUGGUUUUCCCAGCUGAGAAGCAGCUCGGUGCAGCAUCCAUCCUCCUCUCCCUUUGCGCGGUGCCAGGGCUGAUGGUUUAGAGCAAUCCUGCAAAUAUACCGGUGAUCCCAAGUCUGAGGAUGCAGCUAAACCCCAUCAGAAGGCAUUUCUGCAGGAGUCAGAGGAUGUGUGUAACCUGCCUGGUUUUGCCUUAGUGGCAGCAUCGAUGACAUGCGGGAGCUGGUCAGAGGAGCGUCACUGCGCUGCCCUUAAUUCUCCUUGCGCAACUGAUGGUGAUCUAAUGAAUGAGGCUCAGCCAAACCCUUUUGCCUCUCUUAUGCUCAUCAAGCAAUCAUCUCCCCCGUCACGCUUUGCCUCCAAACACCUCAUUUGCAGCUGGCU